GGAAAUGAUGGCUCAGUGGAAGAGCACAUGCACUGUAUGCAGGAGGUCCCAGGUUCAGUCCCAGGCAUUUCCU